UUACUUACCUGGCAGGGGAGAUACCAUGAUCACUAAGGUGGUUCUCCCAGGGCGAGGCUCAUCCAUUGCACUCCGGGUGUGCUGACCCCUGCGAUUUCCCCAAAUGCGGGAAACUCGACUGCAUAAUUUGCGGUACUACGUGAUCAUAAUUUAUAGCCAAAUC
rnacentral:snRNA from 1 species